GUUAGCAGUAUGGACUCGGUUGCUAGUACUGCAGCUGCUGGGUGCUUUGCAGGGGACACCGCCGACGAGGAGGAUGUAGAUGGAACCUCACCAGACAGUUAUGAACCAGAAAUCCUACUUGAACUUAACACAGCAGAACAUGGUAUGGCGGCUCGAAAAGUGUCUUCCAGGUCUGGUGGUUUAGGUGAUGAUUACUUGUGGCAUCCAGCGGUAACAAGUUAAAUGAAUGGGAUUGGCUGCCCUAAUGCACAUCACAAGGUAAAUCCAGAACAGAGGUUGAAGUAGGGGAUGUGUGUUGACGCGUUUUGACACAAAUCCCAUCAUCAAGCCCCCAGAUUACUCAUUCUGCUGGAAAAGAGGGCGGGACCUCUCAGGGGGAGCAGGCAUGUACUGUAUGUUAAGAUGACAACUUAUUUUUGAGAACAGCAUCCGGUCUUACAGUAAAUAACCCCUUGCUAUGCUUAUAUGAAAACAGUCUUACUUAAAUUAAUGUCCUCUAGGCAGGGCUUAAAGUGGUCCAGGACAGGUGGUGGAACUUUCCCCUGCCAUCUCCCCCCCGCCUCCCAUUAGGCAGAGCCAGGGCCAGUGCUAGAGAUUUCGGUGUCCCCCUGCAAACUAUAAAUUUGUGCUCCAAUACUUGAUAAAGAGACAAUGGUCUAAUAAGGAAGAGGUGUAGUCACACCUUAGUCCCCCCAAAUCAAACUACACCACACAGUAGCACAAUCUUAACCCAUUACGCCGCAUGUAGUGCCCUUUAUUCAUAUUACACCACAUUGUAGUGUCCCUUAUUCACGUUAUGAUGACACACAGCAGUGCCCAUUAUUCACACAGCACUCAGUAGUGCCCUUUAUUCUUGUUAUGCUACACAGUCGUACCACUUAUACACGUUACGGAAUUACUGUGCACCUACAAUUACAGAUGGUGGAACUCAGUUCCACUUCAUCCCCCCCCCCCCCCGUCCUUCCCCCAUUUAAU